AGAUUGAACGCUAGCGGGAUGCUUUACACAUGCAGGUCGAACGGCAGCGCGGACUUCGGUCUGGCGGCGAGUGGCGAACGGGUGAGUAAUAUAUCGGAACGUGCCCAGUAGCGGGGGGAUAACUACGCGAAAGCGUGGCUAAUACCGCAUACGCCCUACGGGGGAAAGGGGGGGAUCGCAAGACCUCUCACUAUUGGAGCGGCCGAUAUCAGAUUAGCUAGUUGGUGAGGUAAAGGCUCACCAAGGCGACGAUCUGUAGCUGGUUUGAGAGGACGACCAGCCACACUGGGACUGAGACACGGCCCAGACUCCUACGGGAGGCAGCAGGUGGGAAUUCUGGACAAGUGGGGGAAACCCUGAUCCAGCCAUCCCGCGUGUGCGAGUGAAGGCCUUCGGGUUGUAAAGCACGUUUUGGCAGGGAACGAAACGGCGCCGGCCUAAGUACCGGGCGUCACCGUGACGGUACC
rnacentral:rRNA from 1 species